rnacentral:rRNA from 1 species
GGCCUUUAGUUUAUGAUUUAAGGUCUGACCUGCCCAAUGAUUAUUUUGAAUGGCCGCAGUAUUUUGACUGUGCAAAGGUAGCAUAAUCAUUAGUUUUUUAAUUGAGAGCUGGAAUGAAUGGUUUGAUGAAAAAAUAACUGUCUCAAUAAAAUUUAUUUAGAAUUUUAAUUUUGAGUGAAAAAGCUUAAAUGUUUUAUGAAGACGAGAAGACCCUAUAGAGUUUAAUAUUAUUAAUAUUGAUUAUUUUAGGUUUUAUUUGUAUAUUAGUAUUAAUAUUAUUUUGUUGGGGUGACAGAAAAAUUUAAGUAACUUUUUAUGUUUUAUAACAUUAAUUUAUGGGUUUUUGAUCCUGAUUUUUGGAUUAUAAGAUUAAAUUACCUUAGGGAUAACAGCGUAAUUUCUUUGGAGAGUUCUUAUCGAUAAAGGAGUUUGCGA